rnacentral:rRNA from 1 species
AACGAACGCUGGCGGCAGGCUUAACACAUGCAAGUCGAACGGUUGUAGCAAUACAGCAGUGGCGCACGGGUGAGUAACGCGUGGAUAUCUGCCUUUUGGUUCGGAAUAACUCCGGGAAACUGGAGCUAAUACCGGAUGGUUCCUACGGGAUAAAGAUUUAUCGCCAAAAGAUGAGUCCGCGUACGAUUAGCUAGUUGGUGAGGUAAUGGCUCACCAAGGCGACGAUCGUUAGCUGGUCUGAGAGGACGAUCAGCCACACUGGGACUGAGACACGGCCCAGACUCCUACGGGAGGCAGCAGUGGGAAUAUUGGACAAUGGGGCAACCCUGAUCCAGCCAUGCCGCGUGAGUGAUGAAGGCCUUCGGG